CCUAUCUGCCGUGGGCGCUGGAGAACUGAGGGGGGCUGCUCCUAGUACGAGAGGACCGGAGUGGACGCAUCACUGGUGUUCGGGUUGUCAUGCCAAUGGCACUGCCCGGUAGCUAAAUGCGGAAGAGAUAAGUGCUGAAAGCAUCUAAGCACGAAACUUGCCCCGAGAUGAGUUCUCCCUGACUCCUUGAGAGUCCUGAAGGAACGUUGAAGACGACGACGUUGAUAGGCCGGGUGUGUAAGCGCAGCGAUGCGUUGAGCUAACCGGUACUAAUGAACCGUGAGGCUUAACCUUACAACGCCGAAGGUGUUU
rnacentral:rRNA from 1 species